rnacentral:rRNA from 1 species
GAUGAACGCUGGCGGCGUGCUUAAUACAUGCAAGUCGAACGAACGGACGCGAAGCUUGCUUUUGUGAUUUUAUCGGCGGACAAGGGAUUAACACGUGGUUAACCUACCUAUCCGAUUGGCUGAAUUUCGGGAUACCGGAGCUAAUACCGGAUAAUAUUUUGAGUCGCACGGUUCAAAAGUGAGAGACGGUCUUUCUGUCACUUAUGGAUGGGUCCGCGGUGCAUUAGCUAGUUGGUAAGGUAACGGCUUACCAAGGCGACGAUGCAUAGCCGACCUGAGAGGGUGAUCGGCCACACUAGAACUGAGACGAGGUCCAGACUCCUACGGGAGGCAGCAGUAGGGAAUCUUCCGCAAUGGGCGAAAGCCUGACGGAGCAACGCCGCGUGAGUGAUGAAGGUCUUCGGAUCGUAAAACUCUGUUAUUAGGGAAGAACAUAUGUGUAAGUAACUGUGCACAUCUUGACGGUACCUAAUCAGAAAGCCACGGCUAACUACGUG